UACGUAGGGUGCAAGCGUUAAUCGGAAUUACUGGGCGUAAAGCGUGCGCAGGCGGUUAUGCAAGUCAGAUGUGAAAGCCCCGGGCUCAACCUGGGAAUUGCAUUUGAGACUGCGUAGCUAGGGUGCGGAAGAGGGAAGCGGAAUUUCCGGUGUAGCGGUGAAAUGCGUAGAUAUCGGAAGGAGCACCAGUGGCGAAAGCGGCUUCCUGGUCCAGCACCGACGUUCAGGCACGAAAGCGUGGGGAGCAAACAGG
rnacentral:rRNA from 1 species